GGAUGGUCUGGCUGAGACAUCUGUCACCCCAUUGAUUGCUAGGGUUGAUUAGGAUGAUCUGGCUAGCUAUGCAGGUGUUCUCUUACUGCUCCAUGUGCAUCCUUCCCAAAGCUACAAAUUCAGUCAAAGAGUACAGACUAAUAGAGGACCAUUCUUCAAUUAAGGAUAUAUGAGUAGCUGAGCUUCUCUGCUAGAACCUCCAAACAAACACUGAGAGUGUAGAUUGGUCUCUAGAUUUAAUUUAAUUUAAAUUCAGUCCAGCUAGCCAUU
rnacentral:snRNA from 1 species